UUCUUACUUACACCUCUUUGAUACAGAGUUUAUGCGAGAAGGGUAGGACAAUGGAUGCAUUUUCAGUUUUGGAUAGAAUGGAGGCUUUUGGUUGUGCUCCAAAUCGUGUCACAGUUAGUACUCUGCUCAAAGGUCUUUGUAUGGAAGGCCAUCUAGAGGAGGCUUAUAAGUUGAUUGAUAGAGUUGUGGUAGGAGGUAGCGUUUCAUACGGUGAUUGCUAUAGUUCUCUCGUUGUGUGUUUGAUAAGGAUUAAGAAAAUUGAGGAGGCAGAGAAGCUCUUUAGGAGGAUUCUAGUCAGUGGAGUGAAACCUAAUGGUUUGGCAUGGAGUCUCAUGAUUAAGGAGCUUUGUUUGGAAAACCGGGUGCUUGAUGGGUAUUGCUUAUAUGAAGAAACUGAGAAGAUAGGAUGCUUGCCUACCAUUGAUUCUGAUAUCUAUUCUAUUCUUUUAGUUGGUCUUUAUCAACAAGGCUACUCAGCAGAAGCUACAAAGCUUGCAAGGUCAAUGCUUGAAAAAGGAACACCUCUAAAGCAUCCAUAUGUUGAUAAAGUAGUUGAACACCUGAAGAAAUCUGGGGAUAAUGAGCUUGCUGCAGAAUUGGCUAACACUGGAAUGUAAUGCACAACAAAAGAUGAAUUUGUUUUCAUUGAAGACCCUUGUUGGAUAUUUUAGAGUAAAAUUUUCUAUAU
rnacentral:misc_RNA from 1 species